GACGUAGGGGGCGAGCGUUGUCCGGAUUUACUGGGCGUAAAGAGCGCGUAGGCGGUCUGUUAAGUGUGAAGUGAAAUCUCCAGAGCUCAACUCGGAAACUGCUUCGCAUACUGGCAGACUUGAGGAAUGCAGAGGUGAAUAGAAUUCCUGGUGUAGCGGUGAAAUGCGUAGAUAUCAGGAGGAAUACCCAUGGCGAAGGCAGUUCACUGGGCAUUAUCUGACGCUGAGGCGCGAAAGCGUGGGUAGCAAACAGG
rnacentral:rRNA from 1 species